rnacentral:rRNA from 1 species
CCUACGGGAGGCUGCAGUAGGGAAUAUUGCUCAAUGGGGGAAACCCUGAAGCAGCAACGCCGCGUGGAGGAUGAAGGUUUUCGGAUUGUAAACUCCUUUUGUUAGAGAAGAUAAUGACGGUAUCUAACGAAUAAGCACCGGCUAACUCCGGGCCAGCAGCCGCGGUAAUACGGAGGGUGCGAGCGUUACGCGGUAUCACUGGGCGUAAGGAGCGCGGAGGCGGGAUAGCAAGUCAGAUGUGAAAUCCUAUGGCUCAACCAUAGAACUGCAUUUGAAACUGUUAUUCUAGAGUAUGGGAGAGGUAGGUUGAAUUCUUGGUGUAGGGGUAAAAUCCGUAGAGAUCAAGAGGAAUACUCAUUGCGAAGGCGACCUGCUAGAACAUAACUGACGCUGAUGCGCGAAAGCGUGGGGAGCAAACAGGAUUAGAUACCCCUGUAGUC